CGGGGGGAGCUGGGGGACGCGAGAACCCACAGGCCUUACAGGCCAGGUGGUCACUCCACUCCCUUUGAGACCAUGCUUCCCACCAAAAAAGCCCUGGGCUUGCACAUACAGAAGGGAGCCCUCCUUCCAUCACCAGAGCUCCAAGCCACCACCCUUCCCUGCUUCUGCUCCUGAGGCUGGAACCACAGUGUUACAUAAUGCUGGCCAUGGAGAUGCAGAGCUGCCCUUGAGGAGGUCACAGUUUAGAGAAA
rnacentral:lncRNA from 1 species